GGAGGGUUUCCGCCCUUCAGUGCUGCAGCAAACGCAUUAAGCACUCCGCCUGGGGAGUACGACCGCAAGGUUGAAACUCAAAGGAAUUGACGGGGGCCCGCACAAGCGGUGGAGCAUGUGGUUUAAUUCGAAGCAACGCGAAGAACCUUACCAGGUCUUGACAUCCUUUGACCACUCUAGAGAUAGAGCUUUCCCUUCGGGGACAAAGUGACAGGUGGUGCAUGGUUGUCGUCAGCUCGUGUCGUGAGAUGUUGGGUUAAGUCCCGCAACGAGCGCAACCCUUAUUGUUAGUUGCCAUCAUUCAGUUGGGCACUCUAGCGAGACUGCCGGUGACAAACCGGAGGAAGGUGGGGAUGACGUCAAAUCAUCAUGCCCCUUAUGACCUGGGCUACACACGUGCUACAAUGGGAAGUACAACGAGUCGCUAGGCCGCGAGGUCAUGCAAAUCUCUUAAAGCUUCUCUCAGUUCGGAUUGUAGGCUGCAACUCGCCUACAUGAAGCCGGAAUCGCUAGUAAUCGCGGAUCAGCACGCCGCGGUGAAUACGUUCCCGGGCCUUGUACACACCGCCCGUCACACCACGAAAGUUUGUAACACCCGAAGUCGGUGAGGUAACCUUUUGGAGCCAGCCGCCUAAGGUGGGAUAGAUGAUUGGGGUGAAGUCGU
rnacentral:rRNA from 1 species